UAAUUGCUGUGAGGACUCCUUUUAGGACGGUAUCUGAAGGGGUGACCUUUAGUGCACCUCAUCUGAUUAUACCAAAACUGAAUAUGGUUUCUGAGCAAAUU